rnacentral:sRNA from 1 species
GCACGCAGCGGACCGCUCGGUGGCAGU